UACGGAAGGGGGCUAGCGUUGCUCGGAAUCACUGGGCGUAAAGCGCACGUAGGCGGCUUUCUAAGUCAGGGGUGAAAUCCUGGAGCUCAACUCCAGAACUGCCUUUGAUACUGGAGAGCUUGAGUCCGGAAGAGGUGAGUGGAACUCCGAGUGUAGAGGUGAAAUUCGUAGAUAUUCGGAAGAACACCAGUGGCGAAGGCGGCUCACUGGUCCGGUACUGACGCUGAUGUGCGAAAGCGUGGG
rnacentral:rRNA from 1 species